rnacentral:rRNA from 1 species
UACAGAGGUCCCAAGCGUUUGUUCGGAUUCACUGGGCGUAAAGGGUGCGUAGGCGGUUUGAUAAGUCUGAUGUGAAAUCCCGCAGCUUAACUGCGGAACUGCAUUGGAAACUGUUUGACUAGAGGAAUGGAGGGGAGACUGGAAUACUUGGUGUAGCAGUGAAAUGCGUAGAUAUCAAGUGGAACACCAGUGGCGAAGGCGAGUCUCUGGACAUUUCCUGACGCUGAGGCACGAAAGCCAGGGGAGCAAACGGG